rfam:Triticum urartu cultivar G1812 contig502810, whole genome shotgun sequence.
CAAGUACUCCCAUCCGUCCCAAAAUUCUUGUCUUAAAUUUUCUAGAUACGAAUGUAUCUAGUUAUGUUUUAAUGUUAGAUACAUCCGUAUCUAGAUAAAUGUAAGACAACAAUUUUGGAACGGAAGGAGUAGAAU